ACGUAGGGUGCAAGCGUUAUCCGGAAUUAUUGGGCGUAAAGGGCUCGUAGGCGGUUCGUCGCGUCCGGUGUGAAAGUCCAUCGCUUAACGGUGGAUCCGCGCCGGGUACGGGCGGGCUUGAGUGCGGUAGGGGAGACUGGAAUUCCCGGUGUAACGGUGGAAUGUGUAGAUAUCGGGAAGAACACCAAUGGCGAAGGCAGGUCUCUGGGCCGUUACUGACGCUGAGGAGCGAAAGCGUGGGGAGCGAACAG
rnacentral:rRNA from 1 species